GAUGAACGCUGGCGGCGUGCCUAAUACAUGCAAGUCGAGCGAACAGACGAGGAGCUUGCUCCUCUGACGUUAGCGGCGGACGGGUGAGUAACACGUGGAUAACCUACCUAUAAGACUGGGAUAACUUCGGGAAACCGGAGCUAAUACCGGAUAAUAUAUUGAACCGCAUGGUUCAAUAGUGAAAGACGGUUUUGCUGUCACUUAUAGAUGGAUCCGCGCCGCAUUAGCUAGUUGGUAAGAUAACGGCUUACCAAGGCGGCGAUGCGUAGCCGACCUGAGAGGGUGAUCGGCCACACUGGAACUGAGACACGGUCCAGACUCCUACGGGAGGCAGCAGUAGGGAAUCUUACGCAAUGGGCGAAAGCCUGACGGAGCAACGCCGCGUGAGUGAUGAAGGUCUUCGGAUCGUAAAACUCUGUUAUUAGGGAAGAACAAAUGUGUAAGUAACUAUGCACGUCUUGACGGUACCUAAACAGAAAGCCACGGCUAACUACGUG
rnacentral:rRNA from 1 species